rnacentral:rRNA from 1 species
UACGUAGAGUGCGAGCGUAAUCGGAAUUACUGGGCGUAAAGCGUGCGUAGGUGGUUUGUUAAGUCUGUUGUGAAAGCCCCGGGCUCAACCUGGGAAUGGCAAUGGAUACUGGCAAGCUAGAGUGCGGUAGAGGGUAGUGGAAUUCCCGGUGUAGCGGUGAAAUGCGUAGAGAUCGGAAAGAACACCAACGGCGAAAGCACUCUGCUGGGCCGACACUGACACUCAGGGACGAGAGCCAGGGGAGCGAAUGGG